AUGCAAUGAUGAGUGAUAUUUAGUUGAAUGAUAUUAUGAAAUAUAUUUUUUGAGCUUUUUAACUCUGAGCAUU